UUAAUUACUACCUAAAUAUAUGAGAGGUUCAAGAAACUCAAUUAAAUUGCAAACAGCACCACACAGUGGAGAGAUUCGUUACAUAAACAUUUUGACUGGUUCCACCCAAAUUCAGCAAUAAUAUUUAUGCUGUUAUCUGUCUGCCCUUUAGGUUUCUACUGUCUUGAAGGCACAGGGUAUGACCGGAGACCUUGUCCAGCAGGGACAUACAGCCCUGACUCUGGUUUGAGUGUCCUCUCUGAGUGUAGAGAAUGUGAUGGAGGACACUACUACUCACUUCAGAACUCCACGUCUGUCACAGGAAAAUGCUCUGAGGGAUGUUACUGCACACAUGGGAACAUCUCACCUCAACCUCACACACAGUCUGCAGCCCAAUCAACGAUCACAGCGGAGGACCGUGUCCGACAGGUUAUUUUUGCUUUAGAGGCUCAGGCACUCCUCAAGUCUGUCCAGAAGGAUCCUUCAGCAGUAGAGAGAGACAGGCCAGCUGCAGCCUGUGUCCCCAAGGGUAGAUACACUUACACAUACACAAGAAUGUUAAACAUUUAA
ensembl:lncRNA